CUGUCUCUUAUAACUAAUCAGUGAAACUGAUCUUCCAGUACAAAAGCUGGAAUAAUCACAUAAUACGAGAAGACCCUGUGGAGCUUAAAACAAGCCGCUAAAUAGACACCCGUCUGCCUUAGCGCACGUUUUUAGUUGGGGCGACUUCGGAAUAAAAAACAACUUCCGAGCACAGAGCCCAACCUCUAACUAAGGCUAACAAGCCAAAGCACCAAAACAGACCCGGCCUAGCCGAUCAACGAACCAAGUUACCCCA
rnacentral:rRNA from 1 species